rnacentral:lncRNA from 1 species
GGAUGUAGCAGUACUAAAUUGCGCUUGUCUUCGAAGUACUCGUCUUGCUUGGGAGGCUUAAUUUUAGUGGAUCUGUUCUUGCGUUGCUUAGGCUCUUGGUUCUGUUUCGCUUGCCUCUUAGUUCCUUUGCUCAUUGUCAAUUCAGAGAGAGAGAGAGAGAAGGGUGGAUCGAUUGGAUUCAAAUAGAGAAAGAGCAAAAGCAAAUUUGUGAGCAAUAAUUUUGUUUAGGUUGAUUUGUGAAAAAUAGAGGUCAGUGAUGUCAAUAGCUCAAGGAACUCUACAAAUUUGAAUGAAGACAAAAACAGAACUCUACAAGAGGCGGGUUCCUUGUGAGAAA